UUAAAGUUUGAUGGCAGGGUCGUUCGCCUUGGCCUGUGAGAAGUCUCCCAGCAGACAGCUACUGACGGGCUGUGCCUACACUAAUGUGGCGGGCCUACUGGCUCUGUGUUUGUACAGCGUCUCCCUACACUCCGUCCAGGGCUCUGCUGCACUCUGCCAAGCAUCGACCUGUACACAUGGGCUGCACAAAAGUGCCCAGGAGAGUACCUAGAGGAGUUCUUCAGGAGUCUCACAGUCCUACUCAUCGUUUAUGACUUGGGUGCUCUUACCCUCCACUCUCUCCUCCCUUUCUCUGCACUCAAGGGACUUGGAGUGAGACUGUGCCGAAUGAUCAAUUAAUCAAUUAGUCAAACUGAUUAACCAAUGGAUGCUAGUUGAAAAACCUGUUUUAGAAAAAUAUUGAUCUGUUUAAUCCAAUUUUUCUCAGUGACCACAUUUCCUUUAACUUGUUUGAGUUUGUUUAUUUCAUGGGUUUGUUUGUUCCUUUCGAGCUUUACAGGCUUACAAUGUUUUGAGAAACCUAAUAAAAUAAUUUGUAU